UAGGAUUCCCUCAGUAAUGGCGAAUGAACAGGGAUAAGCUCAGCUUGGAAAUUGGGCCCUCUGGGCUUGAAUUGUAGUCUUUCGAUGGCAUUGCCAGCGGAGGCGCAGAUGUAAGCCUCUUGGAAAAGAGCAUCAAUGAGGGUGAGAGUCCCGUUUGUCAUCUGCAGUCCUCUGUUUACGGUGUGCUUUCUAAGAGUCACGUUCCUUGGGAUUGGAGCGCAAAUUGGGUGGUAAAUUUCAUCUAAAGCUAAAUAUUGGUUCGAGACCGAUAGCAAACAAGUACCAUGAGGGAAAGGUGAAAAGGACUUUGAAAAGAGAGUUAAAAGUGCCUGAAAUUGCUGAAAGGGAAGCGAAUGGAACCAGUCUUCUUGGUGAGAUUGUUGUGCGCUAUUGUGAUUGCUUUCUGCUUCAACGCAAGUGUUGCAGUGGGUUUUGAGCAUGACGCGCACUUUGUUUCUCACCUCGUGUGUCAACGUCGGUUCAGAUUUGAGGAAAACUCUAGGGACAUGGUUAAUUGCUCGCGAGUGAUUGAAUGUGCCUGGUAGAACUCAUGUCUAAACUGAUUUCCGCAUGUCUGGUCGCAGUG
rnacentral:rRNA from 1 species